rnacentral:rRNA from 1 species
UACAGGGGGUGCAAACGUUGCUCGGAAUCAUUGGGCGUAAAGCGCACGUAGGCGGUUCGUUAUGUCGGAUGUGAAAGCCCUUGGCUUAACCUAGGAAGUGCAUCCGAAACUGGCGAGCUAGAGUACGAAAGAGGAUAGCGGAAUUCCCGGUGUAGAGGUGAAAUUCGUAGAUAUCGGGAGGAACACCGGUGGCGAAGGCGGCGAUCUGGGUCGAUACUGACGCUGAGGUGCGAAAGCGUGGGGAGCAAACAGG